AAUUCAGCUUGACUGUAAUAUAAAAGAGACCUUAUGCUAAAUGUUGUUAGUUCUUAACAACAAAGCCUGCCUGUAACAGUACCAAAAAUUGCUGCAAACAUGUUGAAAUUGUGCUUUGCUGCUUCCGUGAUUUUGACUGUGGCGUUUGCUGCACCGGUUGCUAAGCCUGUUGCAAAUCCAAAUCCAAAACCAACGUUUUAUGCAGCGAGCUACUCCGUCCCAGCAGCUCCUGUAGCUGCUCCCAUAGCAUACACUGCAGAUCUAGAAACUCCUUUUGUUUAUGCUGAUGAUUAUUAUGAACCUGUUUAUUACAGUGCUUAUGCGGCACCUUUAGUGUAUGUAUGAAAAACACAUGUUUAAAUAAAAUAUUUAUUAUGUUUCAAAUAAAACUGUUAAUAUGAAACUACUUUGAAAUGUAAGUAAAUAUUUAAUUAAUUGUUAUAUAAAAAUAUAUAUUUAAUUUUG